CCUACGGGAGGCAGCAGUGAGGAAUAUUGGUCAAUGGCCGAGAGUCUGAACCAGCCAAGUCGCGUGAAGGAUGACGGCCCUAUGGGUUGUAAACUUCUUUUAUAGGGGAAUAAAACUAGCCACGUGUGCCUUUUUGCAUGUACUCUAUGAAUAAGCAUCGGCUAACUCCGUGCCAGCAGCCGCGGUAAUACGGAGGAUACCAGCGUUAUCCGGAUUUAUUGGGUUUAAAGGGUGCGUAGGCUGAUUGAUAAGUUAGAGGUGAAAUGUCCGAGCUUAACCAGGGAACUGCCUCUAAGACUGUUGAUCUUGAGUGUAGAUGAGGUAGGCGGAAUGUGUGGUGUAGCGGUGAAAUGCAUAGAGAUCAUGCAGAACACCGAUUGCGAAGGCAGCUUACCAAUCUAUAUCUGACGUUGAGGCACGAAAGCGUGGGGAGCAAACAGGAUUAGAUACCCGGGUAGUC
rnacentral:rRNA from 1 species